CUUGCUUCUCUGAUGUUAGCGGCGGACGGGUGAGUAACACGUGGAUAACCUACCUAUAAGACUGGGAUAACUUCGGGAAACCGGAGCUAAUACCGGAUAAUAUUUUGAACCGCAUGGUUCAAAAGUGAAAGACGGUCUUGCUGUCACUUAUAGAUGGAUCCGCGCUGCAUUAGCUAGUUGGUAAGGUAACGGCUUACCAAGGCAACGAUGCAUAGCCGACCUGAGAGGGUGAUCGGCCACACUGGAACUGAGACACGGUCCAGACUCCUACGGGAGGCAGCAGUAGGGAAUCUUCCGCAAUGGGCGAAAGCCUGACGGAGCAACGCCGCGUGAGUGAUGAAGGUCUUCGGAUCGUAAAACUCUGUUAUUAGGGAAGAACAUAUGUGUAAGUAACUGUGCACAUCUUGACGGUACCUAAUCAGAAAGCCACGGCUAACUACGUGCCAGCAGCCGCGGUAAUACGUAGGUGGCAAGCGUUAUCCGGAAUUAUUGGGCGUAAAGCGCGCGUAGGCGGUUUUUUAAGUCUGAUGUGAAAGCCCACGGCUCAACCGUGGAGGGUCAUUGGAAACUGGAAAACUUGAGUGCAGAAGAGGAAAGUGGAAUUCCAUGUGUAGCGGUGAAAUGCGCAGAGAUAUGGAGGAACACCAGUGGCGAAGGCGACUUUCUGGUCUGUAACUGACGCUGAUGUGCGAAAGCGUGGGGAUCAAACAGGAUUAGAUACCCUGGUAGUCCACGCCGUAAACGAUGAGUGCUAAGUGUUAAGGGGGUUUCCGCCCCUUAGUGCUGCAGCUAACGCAUUAAGCACUCCGCCUGGGGGAGUACGACCGCAAGGUUGAAACUCAAAGGAAU
rnacentral:rRNA from 1 species